CGGGUUUCUUUUGCGGGACAGAGGAUCAGAUGUUGAGAGUUUGGACAGACUCAUGAAAACCAAAAACAUACCUGAAGCUCACCAAAAUGCAUUGAAAACUGGGUUUGCAGAAGGUUUUCUGAAAGCUCAAGCACUCUCAAAGAUUCCCUAAGACGAACCUGUCUGAUUCUCUUCUUUCUGCUGCUAUUCGGCAUUUACGGACUUUUAAAAAACCCAUUAGUCUGCUUCCAGACAACAAUGGGGCUUGAUUCUGCAAUAGAUCCUGUCCAGAUAAAAGAUGUUACCUUUGAACGUGU
rnacentral:lncRNA from 1 species